rnacentral:rRNA from 1 species
UCGAGCGGAAACGAGUUAUCUGAACCUUCGGGGAACGAUAACGGCGUCGAGCGGCGGACGGGUGAGUAAUGCCUAGGAAAUUGCCCUGAUGUGGGGGAUAACCAUUGGAAACGAUGGCUAAUACCGCAUAAUGCCUACGGGCCAAAGAGGGGGACCUUCGGGCCUCUCGCGUCAGGAUAUGCCUAGGUGGGAUUAGCUAGUUGGUGAGGUAAUGGCUCACCAAGGCGACGAUCCCUAGCUGGUCUGAGAGGAUGAUCAGCCACACUGGAACUGAGACACGGUCCAGACUCCUACGGGAGGCAGCAGUGGGGAAUAUUGCACAAUGGGCGCAAGCCUGAUGCAGCCAUGCCGCGUGUGUGAAGAAGGCCUUCGGGUUGUAAAGCACUUUCAGUCGUGAGGAAGGUAGUGUAGUUAAUAGCUGCAUUACUUGACGUUAGCGACGGAAGAAGCACCGGCUAACUCCGUGCCAGCAGCCGCGGUAAUACGGAGGGUGCGAGCGUUAAUCGGAAUUACUGGGCGUAAAGCGCAUGCAGGUGGUUUGUUAAGUCAGAUGUGAAAGCCCGGGGCUCAACCUCGGAAUAGCAUUUGAAACUGGCAGACUAGAGUACUGUAGAGGGGGGUAGAAUUUCAGGUGUAGCGGUGAAAUGCGUAGAGAUCUGAAGGAAUACCGGUGGCGAAGGCGGCCCCCUGGACAGA